rnacentral:rRNA from 1 species
GAAACUAACCAGGAUUCUCCUAGUAAGGGCGAGUGAAAGGAGAUUAGCCCAUCACCGAAGCCUAUCCGCGUUUGUGGAAAGGGCAAUGUGGUGUCAGGGUUUGUGCCUGGGAUCGCUUGCUUACCCCAAGUCCGACACCGAAUACGGCUAGGAUCAUUUCCAUAGCGGGUGAUAGACCCGUUUGGGUAAGCUUUUUGCAGCAAGCGAACCUCAGAUGCAUGAACCUGCGAGUCGGAUUGCUUGAGAAUGCAGUCCAAAGUGGGUGGUAAACUCCAUCCAAGGCUAAAUACUGGCACGAGUCCGAUAGUAGACAAGUACCGUGAGGGAAAGUUGAAAAGUACUCUGAAGAGAGAGUAAACAGUACGUGAAACCGCUUGCAGGGAAGCUGGUGGAGUCAAGCUUCUUGUUUUGUUGUUGUGGUCAGGUAUCAUUGUGCCAAGACGUGGAGUCAGUCUUGCUGGAAAGGUUUGGGCUCAUUCGUGAGUUUCGAGUCUUCCCGGGUUGGACGAUCGAGCUGGCUCCUAUCUCUUAUACCUGGCCUUGUAUCAGCAAGGCAUGGAUCACGGUGGACAGAGUGAUGUCGUGCCAUUGUCUAACCGUAGCAUAGCGAGUAAUCUUACUUGCUUGUUGCGGGACGGCAGGUGGUAACGCGGCUCACGCCGUCAGUUAUGUAUAGUGGUCUCGACUUGCUGACCAUGAUACUGAUGUUGCUUUGUCUAUCAUGUUGGGUAUUCCAUCUUCGGAUGGUUUACCAUUGAGAACCGUGGUUUUGAAGUAGACUUUCCACCAGACCCGUCUUGAAACACGGACCAAGGAGUUUAACAUGUGCGCAAGUCACUGGGCUCUACGAAACCCAAAGGCGAAAUGAAAGUGAAAGUCUUUGUACUGAGGUGUGAUUCCUGCUUGCCCUCACACGGCGGUUGGACGCAGCACCGGCCCGUCUCAAAAUGUUGUCAUGUUGACCACGGUGGGCGUGCUUCAUUGAGGCGGAGCAAGAGCGCACAUGUUGAGACCGAAGAG